UGACCCAGUUGGAUAUAUAGUAACAAUUACAAACAGUUUACAAGCUGUUUUAUUCAUUGAUCUGGACAAUUUUUCAUCAUUUUUCGAGGAACUGCCGUCAGAUCUGCCCAACAGUAUCUUUAUCAUUGGCUUCUCUGGGGGAAAAAUUGAGUGGAAACCAGUGUGGUGCCCAGUCCUUGAAAAACUUGUACAAAGGAAAUUAUUCGCUCUUAUAAAUCAUUGUGGAAUGGAAAAGGGAGCCACAGAUAAAAAGCUUCUAGAUAUGGCAGAUAGAGUUGACCUUCAUUUAUCUAAAUGUCCGCGCAUAACUUUCCUAAUUGUAUCUGGAGAUGGUGGAUAUUACAGCUAUAUACCAAAAGCACGGAGACAUGUGCAAAUAAUAAAUCCUCAUCAGAAAGCUGCCAAAGAACACAUAUACGAUGUGAUUAUUAACCAUCUGAUGCACUAAACUUUUCCUAAGAUCAACCUUUAACCAGAACUGUCACAAUACUAACUCAGGUGACCUUGAACUUUGAAGUACCAGACCCAAAACCUAAACAUGUAUGCCCCUGCCUAAGAUUAAUCCAUAUAUGAGGUUUCAUUAUUACAGGGCCAGUAGUAAAGAAGAUAUAGUGAUAUUAAGGGGAAAAAUAGUAAAGAAGAUAUAGUGAUAUUAAGGGGCCAGUAGUAAAGAAGAUAUAGUGAUAUUAAGGGGCCAAUAGUAAAGAAGAUACAGUGAUAUUAAGGGGCCAGUAGAUAAGAAGAUUUAUUUUAUGCUAACCGAUAAAAUACUGUGUUUUAUCAGUGAGAUAUAAUCCAUAUCACUCACUGCAUAUUACUCACUGUAUAUAUAGCUUUGCCGAUCUACUUGUACCUUGAGUAUGAAUUUUAAAUUACCGUAUUCCCUUAAAAAAGAAUGACAACUGUAGCCACGUUUUGUUAUUUAUAGCACAUUUCUUGAUUCAAAUUAUUUUACCCAAUGCGAAUUUCAUAACGCGAAGUAAAAUAAAAUGGAACUUUAUUUCGUGUUCAUCUUUAACGUCACAACACGUCUGACGUCAUAUUCGUUUACGCGCGCCUGUUUCUGGUGCUAGGAUUAAAAUUUGUUGCAAAAUGCAUAUCUCAACAUAAUUAAGCAUAAAAUAAAAAGAAAAUUUGUUUGUUUUUUAGUGAAUAUGGAAUAACCUUGCCAUAAAACUUUAACCUAAAUGAAAUAGUGAUGCCAAUAUCAGUGCGAGUACAAUAGCCCUUCUUUUUCUUCGAAUAGUCCAGCCGAAAAUCAAACAAACAAAUAUUUUACCUUGAUUUUGCACUAUCACUUCAUAUAUAUUGACCUGGAAAUUUUCAAACUGAUUUUUUGGUGUUUUUUUUUUUUUCAAUAUUACUGCACUGAUUCAUUUCAAAAUAUUUAGCACUCAAAGCAGUUUUCAGUUGUUUCCAGAUUUGCUAAAUUCAAAUUCAUGGCAAUGUCAAAAUCACUAGUGCUUUGCCAGUAAAAGGGGCAUAACUCUUUCAAUAUUCAGUCAGAGCUAUGGGGGCUAUUUCUUAUGGUGUAGCCGUUGAUAGUAAAUAACUAUUUUAAGUUUCAAGCCAAUAGCUUUGAAAGUAACAGAGAUACUGGACAUUGUAUAAAACUUUAACCAAAAAAAAAUCUAAGUUAAAAAGGGGCAUAACUCUGUCAAUAUUCAAUCAAAGUCAUGUGGAUUGUUUUUCCUGGUGUAGACUUUGAUAGUAACAGAGAUAUCUGACUUUAUCAAAAACUUUAACCAAAAAGUUCUAAGUUAAGAAGGGGCAUAAAUCUGUCAAAAUUUUAAUUAGAGUUAUGGGGAUUGUAUCUCCUUGUGUAGACUAUAAGUUUCCAGUCAAAAGCUUUGAUAGUAACAGAGAUAUUUGACUUUUUCAAAAACUUUAACCAAAAAUUUCUACGCAGGGGCGAGUGCAAUAGCUCUACAUUUUCUUCAAAAAGUCGAGCUAAAUAUGCAACAGGUCAGGGAUAUACAGUACUUAACUUUGUCUCCAUCUUCAUUUUAUGACUCAGAUGCCAUUUUUUUUUUUUUUUUGGUGUUUAUCUGACAAUAGGCAGGAUAUGUGAUCAUGUCCUUAUAGAUGUAUUAACUUACAGAUGCAAGGAGUAAUUAGAAACUAAAAACAACUCCCAGAAAUCUUCAUCAACAACACCUUAUGUUUUCAAAAUGAUCAGAACUGUUCUUGUUCUGAAAGAACUUUGUCAAAAUAUACACAGCUGCCUCUGUAAUGAAACCUCCCUGCAAGUCAAAACUAGGAUCAUAAAAGUUAUUACCUCAUAUUAUUUUCUUUUUUUUUAACAAAAUUUCUGUCAGCUUGGUCAGUAAAUGAUGUGUGUUUUUGCAAUAUCAACCACUAUACCUCAUAUAAUGUAUGUUUUUCAUUUGUUUACUGUAGUUGAUAUUGUACAUAUUCCAAUUUAAGGUAGUUCUGCAAUGUUGAUAAACAGAUCAUGAAACUCAGGUAAAACAGAAUAAAGCCUGGAUCAGGCAUACAGAAAGGAAAAAUCAUCCUAAAUAAAAAUGUCAGCAUACGCAUACAUUUGUAAAAUGGCAACACUACUUUCUUUCUAAAGACAUAAAAAUGAUUACAAGAAUGUUUGCAUAUGAAAUAAUGUCAAACAAGCAAAUUCAGUGAACUUAUAUCCUUGCCGAGUAUGUUGUUUUGUAAAUGAGGGACUACAUUUUGAAAGAUAUUGAAAUUAUUUCCAGAUAUACACAAUUAUAUACAAAAGGACAAUUCAAUCGUUUGUUGGUCCCUGUUUUUAUAAAAUCAAAAGAGAAAACUUUGCCCUUUAGUGGUCUAUAUUUGUAUAAAAUUUUCAUGAAGAUCUAUCAAUGGAUUACUUUGUUUUGUGGGAAUUUAUGAAAUUUAAAACUAUAUAAUGGCAACACCUCUGCAGUUACUGAAGAGAUUCUGAUGAAUGAACAAUGAAUUAGUUUAUUUGGGAAUUUAUGGAUUGUGAAAUGAUUAUAAAAUAAAGAGCAAUAACUCUGAAAUUAAUAAAGUGAUCCUAACAAAACUGCACUUGCAUCACAGCCUUAACAAUGAUCUACAUUAAAUUUUGUGUAAAGUUUCAUGCAGAUCCAUUUAUAGCUUACUUCAAAACAGUCAAAACUCCCUAUUUUUUUUACCAAAUCAAGGGAAAAUAUGGCUUUACUCGGUCAAUUUGGGUUUACCAUCGCAAUUAUUUGUCAUAUGGCAACUUUCCAGCUUUGAUGGUGGAAGAAGACCCCAGGUUCCCCUUCGUGCAUUAUUUCAUCACGGGCGGAUAUCGGAGUAGAACCACCGACCUUUCAUAAGCCAGCUGGAAAGCUUCCUCACAUGAUCAAUUCAAAGCCUUUAGUAAGGCUCGAACCCACAUCGAUGAGGGGCAAGUCAUUUGAAGUACCAUGUGGCCACAGACGCCCUGAGGUUUUGAAAAUUUAAUGGCUUUUAAUCAAAUUCUUCAUUGCAGAAAACAUGUGAAUCUGAACAUGCAGAACUACCUUAAAAUUUGUUUGUGACUGAGUGAUUCCUAGAAAUUUAAAAUCAUAAUAUUAAAUGUGCACAGUUGCUUUUUUUCUUCUGUAAAAACUUGGUUGAAUUUGAUAUUAAAUUGACUUUCAUAUGACAGACUGCAAAUUUGUAAUGUAUUUCCAAUAUGCAUUUACUUUGUGCAACAUAUGACAAAGGGCUCAGGAUUGAGGGAUAAGCUUCAAGUUUGUACCAAAACCUUAUUCCUGCUACUUCUUUGCAUUAUGAUUGAUGCAAAAACAAAACAAAAAACGUGUGAUUUUUUUCUAAUUUAUUUAAUGCAUGACUGUGUACUUUUUUGAAUAGACACUCUUUUGAGUCAAUGGCUAACUUAAAAGCUAGAUGUGUUUUCAAUGCUCAUGCAAAACUGUGCCUUAACACUUUGUUAGACACUAAAAUUUUUUUUUUCAAAAGGUUGUAAAAUAAGUCAUUUUUUGCAAAAUGUCUUUAUAUAUAAGGCAAUGUUAUUUUUGAUGUGUGUAUACUGUAGUAUAUAUACUUUUGUGAAAUUGAGAUGAAGUUUUGAUCAAGUUCAUGUUGGUGCAACAGCAUUACAUAGUCUUUCAUUCUACAUAGUAUUGUGUGAUAAUGAUAUUUAAUACAUUGUACUAAUAUGUAAUAUUCUAUUUUGUGAUAAGCUACAACUAUGUGAUAUUUUUGGUAAGAUAGAACUUCAUAACUACAACCUCAAUAGCUCAAUGGUAAGAGUGCCCAUUUUGAGGUCAGGGGUUCGUUUCAUGGUCAUGUCAUACCAAAGACAUGUAUAGCAUUAAAUAAAACUUACCUUUAUCUUUAGUCAAUAUAUAGUUGUCUUUCUGUAUCAUGCCAAAAGCACAAAGGCGAAAAUGAAAUUAUUGGUUUGCUCUUGUGUUAUUUAUAGUGUUGGUGUGCACAUUACAGUUGUUAAUUUGUACCAAUCACAUAAUAUUAUGGUCAAUUUAGAAGAACAUUACAGAAGCAGAUUAAUGUAUUAGAGACUGCAAUGCGUCCACAGGUGUUGAUUUAAUGCUUAAUAAAUAGACCAUUUCACGAAGUAUAUGCGCAUGCGCAAACUGAUUACCGUUAAUCCGUGAAUUAACGUGAUUAAACGAUAAGACAAAAACUGGGGGCUAAGAGAUAGAUAGAUAGAUAGAUAGAUAGGUUAUGUACAGCGUGUUAAGUUUGUUAGGUUCUGUAGUUUAUUGACAGGUGUAAUGAGCGGGAAUUUCAAACACAAGUUGCGUCCUUGAUAUCUUGUUUAAUUAAUCAAAUACAAACUUUUUACGCAAAUGGCGUCGAAAAAUCACGUUUAGCCUAAAUAAUUUUGACGUUGCUGUUUUUACAGCGAUUAAUUUAGUUUCGGGCGCCCAUUUCAAUCAAAAAGAAAUUUAUUUCAUUUAUUAUAACAGGACCGUUGAAACCUAUACGGUGAUGUAAUUUUCAAAUAUGUACUCCGACUAUUCGUCGAAGGAAUUCUUACUUUAUGCAAAGACCAUGCCAAAAUCAUUCUACAAAAUUAUUUUUUUCGAACGGAAUGACUAAGUAAUGUGUAAAAACCAUUCCAUAGAAUUAAAAAAAAGUAAACUCAUAAUACAAAUUUAUUUUACUGUAAAAUGAGAGAUAAAAUGCGGGGUCUGCGACUUUUUUUCGCUGUAUUGUCUUCAAUUUUCCCCUACCAUCCUUUUCACGCGAGAUUUAGGGAAAAAUACUAACAACAAAAAUUUCAUUUUAAGCGUACUUCAAUUUUGUUAGCAAUUCUUCGAUUUCUUUCCGAUUUUUAUUGUCACACUUGUAUGCCUGAAUGCAUGUUACACACACAAAAAAGCGUAAUGAAAAAAUGAUACUUUUUAUUAAACAUUUUACUUGCUCGUUCUCUCCUCCAUAGAUGUUUAGAAAUUUUCUGAAAAUGAUCCCGAGAUGUUUUUAAAUAGAAUAAGAUAACAAAACUCCUUGACUACGUAUAUACCGGGUUCAUUUUCACGCUACAGUGCUAAGAAAAUUAGGAAGUUUAAGGAACAUUAAACAUGUCUUUUUCCCGCAUUUUCCAACCAAGUUCAUAUUGUCUGUUUGUGGAAUUUAUUAAUUUAUUCGCAGCCUUUAUUUUACGGCUUGUAGCGUUAUUAAAUAGUGUUGUUUUUUUUUUUUUUUUUUUUUUUUUUUUGUUGUUUUUCGUAUUAAGUUUAAGCCCGUUUCAGCUGUUUCAUAAACAACUAAAUGCAGUUUUCUCCGGAAUCUGGAGAUGUUAGUUCGGGCCCGAUUUCCUACAGCACUGCAUGAAGUGGGAAAGAUGUAAGUUUCUAACGGAGAGUACCUACUGGUUAGAAAGGUUGUAUAAGCAAACCGCCGUAACAAGGUUGUUGAGAAACGGCGUAAACCCAACACAAAUAAUGGACAUCAAAUGGAUAAGUACAAUUUCUAUUUCAUGUCCGUAAAUUUUUACGUCUGACAUUAACUUCAUGUCGUUUUGAUUGUGCAUAUUUCGACCAACUUUACAAAGACUAGUUUUAAGAGUCAUUUGUAUCUGAAGUUUCAAAACUGGAAUUAUUUUAAAAUCUGAAUUGCACGUAUUUGUUAACAAUGGUUUAAAAUGUUCAUUUAAAAAGAUAAAUGUUAAAUUAUGGGAAGGACUUAUAUACCGAUGAUUUGAAACAAAAAGCAAUCAAAUAUAAUGAUUAAAAUAAGAAAAUGAAGUAAGCAUGUAAUUGUUUAAACGCAAAAGUCCAUUGUUUUUUUUUUUUUUUUUUUUUCCUUUUUGUUUUGCCUUUUGUUAGUGCUUCUUUAAAACAGACUCUUAGCGGUGACACAUGUUCUAAAUUUUUGCAUAAUAUUCACCUUAUUCAGAUUUGAUAAAAAAGAAAUACACAUACUGAUAAAAACGGUGGAAGGUUUUAUCUGAGUGUUCGAUAUGAAUAUGGUCAAAUGCUGACAAAAUCAUACCAUAUUUUUACUCUAAACAGUCAGAUAGGACUUCAGUUUUCCUAUGUCAAUAUCAGCCGAAUCAAUAAACCACUGAAGUGAAAAACCUUUUUCACCGAUUUAUGCAUCAGGAAACUUUGUUGCAAAAAUCGAUAAAUAACUGAAGAGCCCCCAGUUUUUCAAAUCUCGUUGGGUCUCCAGAAUUCUCGCUUAGAGUGCGUCUACCGAUCAAGACUUUUCCAAUACUUAGACGCUUGCCGUGAAAUGGUCUAUUGAUGGAUACUAUAUACUAUAUAGAUCUAUACGUAGUUAUCAUCCUUCGUUUUAAUAUGAUUGUGAUACUGUUUUUAACUGUAUAAGCUACAACUGAAUAAAAGUUGAAACGUUGAUUUAUGCAUGUAAAUAAAAUUAUCAAUGUUCA